rfam:Cajanus cajan chromosome 1, whole genome shotgun sequence.
GCGGGGAUGGCUCAGUUGGGAGGGCGUCAGACUGAAGAUCCGAAGGUCCCGUGUUCGAUCCACGCUCACCGCA